rnacentral:misc_RNA from 1 species
AAGGCACGCUAUCAGGCCCCAGCCACCGACCUCGCGAUACAGGCAGGCGAAACUUUCUCGUGCUCGCUCUCUUCCUCCACACUCCAUUGCACUGUCGGGGCGUUGGAGGCCCUGAGAGCCAUCAGAAAGAGCACAAGAGGAAAUAGAGAGAAAAACAUUUGCAGGCGCAGCACCGUAAAACAGACCCCUCUCCCCCCACAGGAGAGGGACUUGGCGGUCCUGUGAGUGCGCCGUGAGUACAACUGCUUCGCGAGUACCCCCCGCCUCUCUCCCAGCACGGCGAGAGAGACACGCAAACGCAGCCUUAACGCCGUCGUGUGUGCGAUCCAGAGAAACUGCGUUUCACUUGGAAAUCUCAACCACCGCCCCAUUGUGUUUAUUUUUAUACAUUUUUCUGUGGUGGUGGCGGACCUUUUUUGGCGUGGCGGCUUCUCGGCCCGUCGCUUCCCUCCCUCCCUCUCCCCACCCGAGCGCAACGAGAGACAUCGCCAUUGUUUCCUUUUCUUCGUUUGGUACACGAUACAUCCCCGUACUCCACCGCGUCCGUGUUCACAGGCGCCUUGAGUAGCGUGCGUUUUUUUUUUGUUUCUUGUCCCCUACGUCGCCACUGUGGACUUUGUCUGCCUUUCUUUUUAGGGGAGUGGGGCGCCUCAUAGCCCUGCUAGCCGUCGUGUGGGUGUAUGCGUAUGUGCGUCAACACGCAUCGCCCUCCCUAUCCACAUCGCCUUUCUCUCGCUUUCUCUAACACCGGCGACAACCCUCACGCGUUCGUCUUGACGGCCUAUCUGCAGCGCACCUCCUUUCUUUUUUUUUUGCUAUUUCUUCUCUGGUGUCUCCAUUCGACUAGUCGCUGGUACUGCCGAGUACCCUCCUUGGUCUCCUCUCCGCGCCUUCCCUUGCACGCGACGCUUCCCCCUCUCCGUUGCACAACCAGAGCGAAAAAGGAAAAAAGUGUCCUCUUAGGAGCGCCGACGCGACUAGCCCAAGUUUUCGUGGGGUGGUUAGUUGCAUGUUUAGUUUCCCUUGCUCUCGAUUCUUUGUCUUAUAGAGCACCCAUACAACUGCGCAAGCGUACUUGCCCGCCCUAGACGUUUCCCCAAGAGCAGGUUUCUCACACGCACACGUGCCGUCGACGCACUGGAUCAACGCUGAUUCCAUCACGCCUCUCAAGUACAAAUGCAGUUCUCCGACUCCAUGUCGUCGAGCUCUUCAGCGGCCUCGCCCCCGCCGUCGCGGGGUGGUGGCUGCCCCGUGGCCGUGAACGCGUCGACCCCGCUUGCGAGCGCGGUUCGCGCGUUUCACGCCACGUACUCAUCGGAGCUACGCGGCACAUACGACGACGAUGCCCAGCGUCUGUACGGUGAAAACAGCUCGCUUCGGAUCCAACUGGCAGCGGGACUCAGCAGGGGUGGCAGCCCAGUCUCAGACGCCGCAGUAGGACACCACGGGGGCGAGAGAGCACAUGACGGCGAUCCUCGUAUGCCCUCCACGCAGCAGGCGCCGCCAUUCUUUGCCAAGGCGUCUGCUGCUCACUCUGCGGCUCAGAGCUUUCGGGGAGAGGACUGGGCAGCUGAGCGGGACGUGAGAGCGUUUCGCAUGACUCCGUCGUCCUCUUCCUCCACUUUCUCUGCAUCCUCCGCCUCUUCUCUGACCCCUGAACAGCCUGAAGGGAAGAGGCCAACGGUGAGCUCGAUCGUAGGCAAGCGUCUGCAGCUGCGCCGCCGUUCGGCCUCCGAGACGCCGUUUGUGGCGUCGACAACGUCGCCACCCAUGUCGUGCGCUCCGGCGGCGCGGCGAAGCGGCAGCUCUCAGUCCUCCUUGUCAGAAUCCUCUGCGUCCGAUGUGGUGUUUCAUAGGCUUCCCUUGCCACACGCUACGCUAGCCGUCUCCUCGUCGAGUGCAGCGGCGCCACCCGCUGUGUCAGUGCCGCCGCCUGCGCACCAUCACGACCCCUUGUGCGCUGGCAUGACGGCGACCUCACCCAACAUCACCGUACCCGCGGCAUCGUUGCUGCAUCGAUCGGCCGUAGAAAAGUCGACGAUGGCAGCCUCUGCCAGCACACUCACCGAUACGGAGCGCACCUGCACCGCUGGGGCCAGCUUCGUCACCUCCUCCGCCAGUCCCAUGACACCGAAUCCCGCCGUCUCGUACACGCGCACAUCGAAGUCACCAGCAGCGGUCUGGUCCGCCGCAGCGGCAGUCCUGCCAGCGUCGCAGCUCCCCACCAGCCCGUCCCCUGUGAGCAGUCUUCCAAGCGAUCCGCUGCUGCCGCACAUUCCGACGGCCGCUGCAGGGCACGCGAACGCCGUGUAUUCAAGCUUCGAGGCGGCGUCGGGAGAAGAGGUGGACGAGCAUGACCUGAACAGCAGCGCAGCGAGUCGAGCGGCCCAGGCGGCGCUGGACGCUGAGGAGCAGCUGCAUGGUCACGAGGGCCCGUCAGACUCCUCCCCGGUGCUGACGGCCUUGACGGAGCAUUCUUUUUCAGUCACCCCACUUCUGACACCGGUGCCGAAAAAAGCGUCUGCGUCACCACGGCCAAUGCAAGUGCACGCAUGUAAAGGUGAGAUGGACACCAGCACGAUUGUCUUCAACCUUGACGAGGGAAAGGACUGCGACGACAGCAUGGCAGGCAUGCUCGCCAGGAGCAGCGUCGACCUAGUGCACACUACCCCGUCUGAAAAGCGUCAGCUUCUGUCUCGAGAGGAGCGCAACGACUUGGAUGGUGCUGUGGCUAAUUCUUCCGACGAUGCCGGGGCCGUUUCCCACAUGGCCGGCUGGCGACGGCAGCCGCUACCCCCACCGACUCCGUCGACCGUCACAAAAAAGUCGCCGUCCUCGUCGUCCGCCAUGCGGCGUGCUGUAGAGAGUGAUGACACCACCAGCACCAGAAGCGGCGGCAGCCCCCCCUGCACUAACCUGACGGUGGAGCAGCGAAGCACCCCAGUCAUGGCCCAGGGCGCCGCGACCGCUCUCGCGACGUCUGUCGACGCGGCGCAGGCUGUGGAGCACUACACCGCCUCGGCCCUCCCACCUGACCGCAGCAGUAGCAGUGGCAUCGAUAGCCUCGUGUUCAUUUCGGGCAAGAACGCCGGCGAUCCCGCUCACAAAAUGCGCAGCCGCGCCGACGACACGCACGCGCUGUCGCUACAGCGCCAGAGGGCCAUGGAAUGCGGUGGCAGGCCGGAGGAGGCCGCUGUCGCUGAGCACGUCGGCUCCGCGAUGAUGCCGUCCACCAUCGCGACGGAGGGUGGCGCUGUCAGGGUCAGGGGCAGUGGCAGCGAGGGCGUCGCAGCCGCGGCCUCCGUGCCUGGCCUCGAGCAGCACCCGCCUCACCAUGCCGUUAAAACCCUGUCAACCUACCAGAUGAAUGACGAGACGAAGACACGCGCCGCCGACCCUGCGGUACUGACCACGGGAGGCGAAACGUCGGCGUCGCGUGCGAGUGCCGUUCUGAUGCCUCCAUCGCCGUCCCAGCCGCGCGCAGCUUCGAUGCUGGAUAACAGCUCUUUCUCCUCGCACUCUUGCGGAGACGCCACCGCCGCGGUGGCGGCGGCACUCGCAGGACAAUCGGACCGCAGUCGCAGUGGCCAGGCGCUGCUGGCAGCAGAGCGCGACGCAGCGGCGCAACCGUCAAAGAGCGGUGUGGUGCGGCGGGCGUUGGUGAUGCGAUGCAUGCAGGACUCCAGCACAUCGUCAUCGUUGUCCUCCUCCUCUUCGAGAAGCAUCAGUGGCCACAGAAAGGAGCCGAGACAGGCCCUUGUCAACCCAGGCACGAGAACGGCAAGCGGCGAGCAGACCUCCGUCGAGAAGAAGGGGGGCAGCAACGAUCGACCUGUAUCGCCGUCCAGCUCGGCGCUGUGCGUCGACGCAAUGUGCGCGAAGGACCCAUCUGCUACGCAUGCGUGUGCUCUCCAGUACACGGAAGCUCUCGACGGCGCUGACGUUGGCGAGAACGAGGAGGCCGAAGAGACUGAGGAGGACGGGACACCAACCAUCAAGUGGGACGGCGCGCAGGACCAGGAAAGCAACCCGCUUCUGCUGCAGGAGGCCGGCCGCUGGGAUGCCGUGCUGGAAGAGAUGGAGCUGGUGGAUUGCACAGUUGUUUCGCGCGUGUAUCAGCGACCCAUGCCGCUCGGGCGCACCGCGUCCCACUCAGACGGUGAAGAUGCGAUGGAGAACAUGGGCAGCGAGGAAGACGACGAACUUUGUCUUUUCAAGGUGGUCUCGCUGUUCCCCAUCGCCGCGGACCACUCCGAGCGGUGGGAGCGACGCACUCGAGUGCAGAAGCGCUUGCUGGCUCUCGCGGAGGAGAUGCGUGCCACGCAGCGCGCGCUCGACGAGGCGGGGUUGACUGCAGCUGAAGCGGAACUCGGGUCCUCAGCCUCCCAGCACGUCGGCGCCAGUGUGAAGGCAACCACCAAAGGAGAAGAAAGGGCCGGUGAUCGCAGAGACGAUACAGGCGACGUGUUUGCCGAGCGAAGGCGGCGCACCACCUGCGCCGGUGUGUCGGAGGUGUACGUGGACUCGCGCUGCCGCCUCAUAGCCCAGUUGGAGGCGGUGCCGUACAUGGUACCGUUGCGGCAUCUCGUCGCCGCUAGCUCUGGCACGGGACUUCGCGAGAGCGAGGUCCUUGCUCUCAUCCGCACUGUCGUUUGCAAAGCAGCCACAAUGCACAACGCGGGAUUUGUGCACGGCGCACUGCAUGCCGGCAACGUACUUCUGUCCAGCUAUGACGGUGACGCGGUACUGACGCAGCCAUGCGGCCUGAUGAGUCAGAGCUCCUGGCUGCCGACCGACUUGUCCGUCAUCAGCGUGGCGCGCGCCAAUGCCAUGGCGCCAUACCUUUCCGAGGUCUGGGGCGCGCGCCGGCUGCAGGUGGGCGGUGCCACGUCGACGCGACUCGGACCCCCACAGCGGCCGGACACCGCGGAGCUCAUCACGUACCACAACUUGGCUGCCCUGGGCUGGCUCGACGACAGCGACGCGCGGAAAGCUGGGGGGUCUGCUGACAGGCGUGACAGUGCUGAGUUGUGCAUGGCCGGUACUGCCUACACCCCCACCGCCGCCGACGACCUCCACGCCGUGGGCAUGAUCGCCUUCCUUAUCUAUGUCGGUGUCCCGCCGUUUCAAAUGGCGUCCCUGUGGGCGGUGGUGGAGCGGCUCAGGGCGCUGGGCACUGCCUAUGGGACUGCCAUGCAGUCCUCCUCCUCUUCGUCUUCCGCGGCGGCCCGUCAGGAGGCGCGCCGUCUCGUGGAGGAGUUCUGCUUUGGGACUCGCCGACGCGGCGCCGGCGCAAACGACUGCCACAGACACGGUGACGAAGGCGCUUCUCCAUCCUCAGGAGCACCGCUGCAGCGGCACGGCGUUGCGCGAUUUCAACCCGACUUCGAGCAAGCUCUGCAGUCCUUUAUCGUGGACUGCGUGGAGGCGUCUUGCAGCGCGGCAACGCUGGAACAGGAGAGCGGCACUCCAUACCGGUCGGGUGCAGCGCCGCAUGUCUACGCCAACGCGCAGGAGUUGCUCACUCGUCAUCCCCUCUUCAGGCGCUUUGCCCUCCCGGCACACGCAGGCCAGGACGACGAGGAGGAGCACGAAAACGGUGGCGGCGCGCGGUCUUCGGGGGGCAAGGAAUCCGAUCAGAGCGUUGAUGAUAAGAUGCGCGAUACGGUGCACCGAGUUGCCUACCCUGCCUUCUGCACGUGGGCUCGCGCCCGCGAGGACUGUGGCUCGGCGCCGCACCUGAGUCGGCUGCACAGCAAUGCGCUCUUCACUGCUCGCUGCACUGCGCUGUGCGAGUGCGUUUCUGCCACCGUCUCGUCCCACGACGACGAGAGAAGUGAGUCCUGGAAUGCCGCUCAGGACGGCGAGCCGUGGUCGUCGCUCUCGGUUAUCAGUCCUCAUGUGGCGGGAGCGCUACAGGCAUGGCAAUUUCCUUUUCUCUCCGCGGAGGCGGGCACCAGCUGCCUUAAUGACCGCGAGACGGGCACGUGCACGUGCACGGUGGCUUCGGCUGAGGCGGCGGCGGCGAUCCGGCACAGGCAGUGGCGAAGCGACACUCAUGCGGUAACGGACGCUGCCCGGCUCCGGUGCUUGCCCUCGCUGGUGCGACCGACCGCUUCAGCGGCGCCUACCGGGCGCGCUGCCGCCGGUGACGGAGACGAUGGCGCUGAUGGCGACGUUUCGGCCACCACCUUAGCGCUGCAAGAAGAGGAUGUGCUGGAGGCGCAGCUAUUCUCUGGCGAGCAGCGUCAGUUUGAUGGCGACUUUGCACAUCAGCCACAUCUGCACGCGCUCACGUUGGCGGGGAAGCAGGAGAGCGCCUACUCCUUAAGCCGCGACUUUGUUCUUUCACGUGUGCUGCCGGUCGCCGACACACUGGUUCUGCAGCACUUAACUGACUGCACGGUGACGGUGCUCGCGCCAUUUCGCUACGUUGUGCUCGAUGGGUUGCAGCGCUGCGAAGUUCGACUGGGCCCCUGCGAGUCGUGCGUGCUGCGCGACGUGCACGACUGCCCGCUCAUCGCCGUCGCGGCGCUCCAGCUCUCCGGCAAUAACGUCACCGAGACACACUUAAGCUGGAGCAGGCAGGGCAGUGGUCGUCCCCUGCUGAAGUGCAGCCGCGGCAUCACCGCAUCCCUCUACGGCCUGAUGUAUGAGGGCCUCGUUGAGGACUACUCGAGGGUGGGUCUCGCACUGGAGCACGCCGCCUGCUUUGUCGCCGCCGCCGACGUGAACAGCGACUCCGGUGAGGCCGAUGGCGCGGUCACUUUUCGAGGCCCGGCGCCGGCGUGUCCGCGUGCUGUUGAGCUUCUGGCAACAACUGCGACCAGUGCGAGCCGAAGUCAGAGGGAGAUGGGGCUAUGCCUCGCCCCGGAGGCGCCGUAUGACCUCGCGCUGCUCUUGAGCAACACCCGUUACGUGCACAGCGGCAGGCGUAGCGGCGGGCUGCAGAGCCCACGGAUACCGUCUCCUGACGUGUUUCACUUCUUUGGCGAGUUAGCGGAGAAGGACGUUGUGGUGUGUGACGUGCGCGGCGGCACUCGCAACGGCGACGCGCGGCCAGUGGUCUUUCUGGUUGGCGCGCUCGGCGACAUUGUGAUCGAGCGGUGCAGUCACUGCACGAUCUUGGUUGCUGGGACGCCGAGCAACUUGCAGGCGUCCCAGUGCCACGACUGCCAGCUGAUCUUUAUGGCGCGCGAGUCGGUUGUGGAGGAUUGUGCCCGCGUAGAGUGCGUGGCGCUCGUGACAGAGUACCUUUUAGUGCGGCAAUGUGACGCGGUGCGGGUGCGGCCGCUCUUCCUCGACUGCCCUUUCAGCGAUGAGGUGCUGCGGCGCGUGGUCGGCGGAAGCGUCGGCGGCGACGAGGAGGAAAUAGUGGUCGGUGCGUAUGAGGCUGGCAGGCUUGAUGAGCUGAACGCGGUGCUGCGCGGCGUUGGGCAGGGGGUGCUCGUGGAAGCUUCCGAGAACGUGAUUAUCGAAGACAUCGGCUACUACUAUCAUCGCAGCUGCCGCGCCGGUGAUGGCGAGCGUGAAGAUCAGGAGGGCGGCGCGGACGGUGACGGCUUCUCCGUGUUGUCGGUUGCGUAUGCGAGCAUGCAGAGCCCCACCGCAGCUGCGAGUUCCUCAGGCAAUGCGUCGCGGUUCAUGGCAGAGGCCGCGCAGUCGCUUGCGGAGCAUCUCUCCCUGCCGUGCUACCUCGAGCCUCUCCAGCGCUACGGCGGCGGGGAAAGGGCUGCGGUCAGCCAUGCGGGUCGACCCACCGUGUCCUUCCACGACCUGCUGAACUGCUCUGUGCUUCGCCUGCGUGGGUCUUUGUGUCCGCUGGAGUCGCAGGCAUCGCCCACCUCCGGCGACUCCACGGUGGAGCUGGCGGAUAUCUGCGUGGAGCGGGUGCACGGCGGCGUCCUCUACGUGGAGGAUGCCGUUCACACGCUGCGUCUGCGUCACUGCGUCGGCCCGCUGGACAUCGUCGUCUGCGCUGCAGCGAGGGUGUUCAUGGAAGCCUGCGUUGGUGUGCAGCUGCGCACGGCCUGUGUCGACUUCCGCGCCACCGACUGCGUCCACUGCCAUGUGGCGCUUCACGUGAACAACCCGCCACAGUACCAGCGUUGCAGGAGCGUGCAGACCUCGGCGCUGAACAUCACCGCGCGGGACUUCAACGCACUGCUAAGCGCUGCCGGGGUAGACUUGGCAACAAACUUGUACGAUGAGCCGCUGCUACUAACGGAGGAGUGGAAGCCGACUGUGGCGGCAGGGUCGUCGGGUGCGUUGUUGGAAGGACGCAGAGUGCAUGCCUUACAUGGUGGCUGCGUGGACACCCCUACGGGACCCCAUAGCACCGCUGAUAUGUGUGCUGUGCUGCUCUCCUCGGUGCCCAGGGAGCAGCUGCAUCCGCGACAGGGAGGGCCGCGUGACAGCAGGCUGCGUGUGCAGCCCGACCAAGUGCCGCGCAUCAUGACCGUGCUGCGCCAGCCUGUGAUGGUAGUGGCCCCGCUCCCAGGGCUGUGCGCCAGCCCGAAUGAGACUCCGUUUCUGGAGGAGCUAGAGGCGCGCGUGCUGGUGUGGGCCAAACAGCCGCUCUCAGUAUCGCGUGAGGAGGCCGUUGCCAUUGCGCUGUACGCCUUGGCUGACUUGGCAGAAGUGUAUGCGAGUGUCACGGAAUGGGUCGAGGCGACGGACGCGGUGCAGCCCACUGAGGCACCUAAGCGGGUGGCUGCGUUCGGCGGCUCUCUGAAUUCCGAUGCCCCACCACACCUCCUGUCCACGCGUGCGCCUCCCUCGCUGCCUGCCACUUCCUCAGCAUCCUCGACGGCAAGUAAUGUUCCGGGACUGGCGUUGGACGCGGUUCAGCAGCGGCUGCCCCCCACCGAGCGAGUGCUGCUGCAGCAGGCGGAGCAGCCUCGCACCAAGAACGGCGAGUGUGCUGCCCAGGAUGCGUCAGCGGCACCUUCGUCGUCGCCGUCGGCGGGCGACGCCAGCGGAGCGGGAAUCCCAGCACCUGCAAAGCCGAUGCUGGUCGAAGCCGGGGUUGUCGAGAUAGGACCUGGCACGGAGGGCUUCGUGGAAGAGGUUGCCAUUCACAGUGCACCAGCGCCGCCACUCUCGUUGCUGUUGACGUGCUACACGGACCCACCACCUGCGCCGAAGAACGACGGCGCUCAAACGUCACCGGCAGAGGGGCCUCAUGCCGACCCAGUGGCGCUUCACCGACCGUCACAAUCAGAAAGCUUGCCGAUGCGCGCGCAGCACGGCAGACUCGCAGCUGCCGGAUUACCAACGUUGCCGUGCACCGCGGCGAGCGCAUUCGCCUCAUCUGCGGCUGGGCUCGAUGGCGCCGCCUCGGGGGUGGAAGACGACACCUCGGUGAACUCGAGCGUUGCCGCGCCGCCGCUGCCGCCGGGACCCGCCUACGCGCUCAACCCCACGAAUGUCGGUGCCUCCUCCACGAUGGACGUCUUCUACAACACACAGCGCGACGCCGCGUCAGUGGUCACCGGGACAGCAGGCCCGCUCAUGGAGGAGGAGGGCGGCGCCUGCUCGCUCACCGCCCGCACACUGGAUGACGAAGGUGUGGGGUUCACCUCCGCCUCUCCCUGGCCCGAUGGCAUACGUUCGCCCGUCGUCACGGGCGGCCGCCGGGCCCUUAAGUGGGCCAUGGGCAGCGGUGACAACCACGAGGGAGCGCGGAGUGGACGACAAGCUUCACCAGUGGCGGAGACCAUUGAUGUGCUGGGUGCCCAGGCGCAGGCCCAGUGGCCCUCGUCGUUGGAGAGGUCGCCGCAUGUUAUGGAAUCGGAGGAGCGCAGCAGUCGCGACGGCGACGAGCUGCUGGUCGCCACCACCGCCGUCUGUACAAAGGAGCUACAGGAAGUUUUCCUGAAGGAAGAGGUCGAGCCACACUACGCGCGCAACGCCGCGCACUCUUCUUUGCGUACCUCGACGUCCUCGGUGGCCGAGUACCCGUGGCGCGGCGUGAUGUCGCACGAGAACAGCGCAGAGUACGUCGCGGGCGGUAGUGACAACGGCACCGGCGAGUCGACGGUGCCACAGACCAACUUCCUCCACGUGUCGCAAGACUCGUCCGCGCGGCGGUUGGAGCUGAACUCCCAAGCUGCCAUGGAGACCCUGGUGAUGGCUAUGGGCUCCGAGGAGGGUGGCAGCUUCUCCACGGUGCAAAGGGGCGUGCUGGAGCCGCCGGCAAGCGGGCGUGCCGUUGUGCCGAAGACGGAGCCUCUGGGAAGGAUCUCGCCUGAAGUCAUGGCGAUGCACGAGGUCGAUGCGAACGUAAAGGAGGUGCUACGACAAGUAGAGCAGGCACGCCAGCUCUUCGCGCGAAAUCAGCGCUCGUGGGAAUCGUCAUCGGGUGGCGGCUUGGAGGCCCGUGUGCGGGCGGCAGUGGCGAAGCUGACGGCCUUGAAGGCUGCGCAUGCUGAGGCAGCCUAGUGUACCUGUGCGAAGGGCGACGAGAGACAGUGGAGCUCUUCGUUUUUUUUUUUUUCGUGGCGGUGGCUUCUGAGAAUCUCCUCUACACCUUCGUCUUCACUGCCGCCGCGCAUGCCCCGCUGCGGAGCGGAAGGGGUAGCAGUUGACAUCGAAAAAAAAAAGGAGGAGUUCUCACAAGGACCUCGAGGCAAGAUGGGUGCCAAUCUGAUGCCAGUUGUGUGGGUCCGCACGGAUGCAUGCGUGCGUUGACGUGGCUUUGUGGCCGCCCUCAAUAUCCCCAUCCCUCACUUUGGCGUUUCUUUCCUCAGCUGCAGGGUGUGGGAGCUGCGAAGAGGGGUCAUAAUACCCGCAUCCCUUUAUGCUAUCCGUCGUUGCUAAGUUUUUCUUCUAGCGGCUCCGUUGCGAGAGACAAGCACGGAGACGUGCAUAAGCGCAUACGCAGCAUGGCACGGUGCUCCUGGUGGUGAGAGGUGUUUGACUACAGGUGUCAUCCCCACCGCAGCCCACAGAUGCUCGCGUUGAUCCCUUCGUCUGCCGCUGUUGCGGGCGUCGUGGAGUGCUGACCCGUGCACCUCUCGCGAUCAGGGACACCGAAAAGAUCCUGCCGUGCCUUCAUUUCUCUACCUGGCUCCGUUAGUCUGUGUUCGUGUGCUCUCCCGUUGUGUUUCCGCCGUCUCUUCUCACCCGCGCAUGCAUCGCGGCACACAAACGCACAUCUAUUUUUGCAUCUUCUCACGCCCGUCACGCGCACCGCACACGCCGUCAUACCGCCGCUCCCCGACGCGCCCUUUUUGCGGUCAUCUUCCUUUCUCACGUACAUUUCGCAUGACAUGCAUCUUUGCACACGCACGUUUGGGAUGGGCUGCGUGGAUACAUGUACCCAACUCGCGCGCGCGGCAG